UAAGAGGUGCGAAUUUCAUCAGUAACGGCUGUUUUUCGGGAUAAUCGGUCGCGAAAGGGGAAUUUGCCGAAGUGUCGUAAUAAACCCGUGAAAAGCGGCGCUGGGGCGGCAGAUAAUAUCUGUCGAACUGUCACAGUUUUUGUGGAGCGCUGUCAGA
rnacentral:ncRNA from 1 species